GCCGGCUGGGACAGGACAGACUGGCCGAGUGCGAAGGACUGGCUGAAGGUGCCUCCCGACACGGCCCUGAUGACUGAGCUACAGCAAGAUGUGGAGGACCCAAAGCCUGCAAAAGUUCUCGGGAAAAGAGAAAGCAAAGUUGGCUCAAUCCAGGAGUUCUGAUCCAACCCUGAACAUUUUCAGAGGCAAAGGAACAUUCGGUGUGGACGUCUCGAUAAUCCCGAGUUCGGCGCAGUGUGAGGACUGCGUGGCACAGCUUGCUGAUGGGCAGUGAUCCCGAGUUCGGCGCAGUGUGAGGACUGCGUGGCACAGCUUGCUGAUGGGCAGUGAGAGAGCAGCCAGAGAAAAGGCUGCUUUGCUCUCACGUCAACGUUGUGUCUGCUGAUACUCGGGUUUCUCUCAAGGCUGUCCGCUGGGUGCAAGCCAGAGUGGGAGAGGGGUUGGCGGGAAGCAGCUGCAGCAUCAUGUGCGGGCAAGAGACAGGCAUGUUUCCAUCACCCCACCUGCAGUCAUCACCUUGGCCCAUCUAGGCUGAUGCGUCAGUUACAAUUAUAACUAGCUCCCUGUUGGCCCUUGAAGUUACUAGGGAUUUCUUUUCUACAUCCCUCAUCAAAACCUAAUCUGACGCACGUAUUGGGGAUGGGGAUGCCAUAUCUCUUUCUUCCUCUCCCUGGAAUAGCCAGAGAAGCUAGAGCCAUAAGAGAAACUGGACACUGGCACCCGGGGAAAGCGCAGUGGGCAGCUGUGGACUUUGUGCAGGCUGUGAUGUCGCCUACAUACUUUGUCUACGGAGCCAGCGGUGUGCCUAGCGAUGCUUUUGUCCAUUCCAUUUCUGAAUAUUGAUAUAAAAUACUAAUGUCUUCCCUGAAAAAAGAGCUAGAUUUCUGGUUUUGUUUGAUUAUUUUAGAAAUCAUGGAAACAGUUAUUCAUUUUUCAGUCUUAUAUUGUUAUACUUAUUGAAAACAGCAAGAACAAGUCCUUUUAACAUGGGGAGAAAGUGGGAUGAGUCACGGAACACUGAGGGGUUUACAGUGUGUAAGUUGAGAGAAUGCAUUUUUGAAUGGAAAACUGAUGAUCUGUAAAUCUUCACCUAUUUCACAGUAAAAAUACAAAACAAACCGAGGGGGAAAAAAUCCUUUUGGAGUAAGAUAGUUACUCCCAAAGUCGUUAUAGAUGAAAGGAAUGUUGGUUUGGUCUUGCUUCAAAGUAGACAGGGAUAGCAAUGAAACAGGAUUGACUGGGAGUAGAUAAAUCAUUCAAGAUGUGUGAUGCAUCGAUAAGGGUUACUAAUACCUGUCUACUUUGUAUAAUUUAUAUAAUUUCCAUAAUAAGUACUUAAUUUUUUCAAAUCACUUGUGAAAAUCAGUGGGUACCUUUAACUACUCAAUCAACUAUGCUGUCUUCAACAUUCAUCAAAAAAGGUAGAUUAGUCCAGAUUUUUCUAAGAAAAUCCAGCCGUAAUCAUGACUUGUUUCAGACAUCACAACCAUUGCGCUCAUCAGCAGUGCCUACCUUCCUUGGUCAGGUAGAAAAUGCAUACAAAUGGAGUUCUAUAACAAGAGCAGUGAGAGGGGACCUGGUAUGGAGGUAGGGAAGUCAGACUCUUAUUAAAAUGCAGAAAAUGGUAGGCAUCUCAUAUAGGGAUGGCACUCCCAGAAACUGUCAUUUGGCCACUCUUAGGCAGCCAGUUGUCAUAGAACAGAGAUUUCUCCUUGAGCCUUACCCAUUUUGGAGAAAGUGUGAAGUAAAAAAAAGCAAUCCUGUUUUCUUCCAGUUUGUUUGAAUCUUCAGUAUCUAAGUAUUGCCCUUUAAACACGCACAAAGUAAAGCGAAUGUAAGUGUUAUGGCCCCUCCCCAUUAUGAUACAAUCGUUUGGGCUGAGUAACUGAGGUAGACUCCACUGCCUUUCACCCAGUUUUAUGGGAACGCAUGGACUAUCUUCCUCUUUACUCACAUCCUUUGUGGGAUGGAGUCACGUGUUCUCUGUCUGGAAGAAGUUGAAGAGCAGGCUGCUGCUUCACAAAAACCAUCUCUUACAAGUUUGGUUAGGAUCACCAGUAAGUCAUCCAACAUCCACCAGAAAAUUCUUCCCAAAUCCAGGAAUUCCAAUACCUUUGUCUGUUGUUAUUCUGUCCGGCACAGCCCCAAAGGGUAUGGGACUAGAAAUAUGCGCUUGACGUCUAAUGUGGGCUCAGUGAACAUGGAGUGUUUAGGGUAAUGAGCCUUCCUCAGGAUACAGAGAUGCAACAAGUGCUUUAGUUCCCUCUAAGGAGGGGAAAGACCAGCAAGCAGCACUCCAUCCUACAGCAAGCCUUAAGUGUACUGGGGUGGGGGAGACACAGGGGAGGGCCAGGGGCCACCCCUCAGAACACAAGGAGAUUGGAGAAGGGUUCAUGUGGGAGGUAAGUCCAGCCCGGGCUAGAUCCUGAGAGAUGAACCAUGUUUGCUAGAGGCCAUCAGAGAGGGCAUGGGCAAGCCCAAGGCGCUUGAGAGGAACACAGUAAGAACAGCCAGCAAUGGAAGGAGGCUUUUCGGGUCAGGAGGCUUCUUUACUGUACUCUUCUUCAGCUUUAUCCGGUAGGUCCUGGAGAACUAAAGAAUCUUAAAUGCAGGAGAUAGAGGGAGUUGGAGAUGGAUUUUCAGAUAACUUUAGCCAAGAAUACCGAAAACAGAUGGAAGGAGAAGUGAGACAUGAGCUGGGCAGUACAAAGAUCCCCGAGGGAGACAUUGAGGACCCUCGCUAAACCGACAGAAUUAGGCAAUAAAGAAAAGACUAAGAAGUUAAAACUCUACCAGUUUUACCCAAUUGGGUUGGGCAGGGGGGAAGAAUCUUUGUAUAGUGUGAUGGAGUUCUAAUAACCACAAGUUUCCUGAUUUACGAAAUAAGAUAAUACUGAUCUUAUGUACCCAUCUCAGAGGUGGACACCGGGCUUAAGCAGAAUUACGGGGGCAGGAGAACAACCCACAGGGCACGUGUAGACUCAUCUGGGAAACCCUGUGGGAAGGAUUGGCGAGGGAGCAGGAAAAGGCAGAGAGGAGGUGCUUUUUGGAAGUAACACGUGUGCAGUGCAGGUAGAGAGAAAUGCAUAUUCCAAGAGGGAGAAAUUAGUAACAGGAAACAAGGAUGUCAGAUGUAAAAUGUACUGAAAUCUUUUUAGACUUAUUACUUACUUCCUUAGAUAAGGUACCAGUGAUAUAUAAACCAGUUGCCAUCAAGGCAGUUCCCCCCAGGAGGUCCCCUGUGCUCCACUGGGCUUUCAUUGCCUGAUGUUUCAGAUCACUAGACCUUUCUUUCCGCUGCCUCUGGAUGGAUUUGAACCAUCAACCUUUCAGUUAGCAGCCAAGCACAUUAGCCAUAGUCACCAUUCAGGUCAAGUAUAAGUGAGAUGCCUUUCAACUAGGACAAAUAUCUGAUUUCAACAGCAGUGAGGAGUUCUUAAUUCCAUAGU